UACAGAGGUGGCAAGCGUUGUUCGGAAUUACUGGGCGUAAAGGGCGCGUAGGCGGUUCGUUAAGUCCUGUGUGAAAUCCCCCGGCUCAACUGGGGAACUGCACAGGAAACUAGCGGGCUUGAGUUCGGGAGAGGGAAGCGGAAUUCCGGGUGUAGCGGUGAAAUGCGUAGAUAUCCGGAGGAACACCGGUGGCGAAGGCGGCUCUCUGGGACGGUACUGACGCUGAGA
rnacentral:rRNA from 1 species